rnacentral:rRNA from 1 species
GACGAACGCUGGCGGCGUGCUUAACACAUGCAAGUCGAACGGAAAGGCCCUGCUUUUGUGGGGUGCUCGAGUGGCGAACGGGGGAGUAACACGUGAGUAACCUGCCCUUGACUUUGGGGUAACUUCAGGAAACUGGGGCUAAUACCGGAUAGAAGCUCCUGCUGCAUGGUGGGGGUUGGAAAGUUUCGGCGGUGGGGGAUGGACUCGCGGCUUAUCAGCUUGUUGGUGGGGUAGUGGCUUACCAAGGCUUUGACGGGUAGCCGGCCUUGGAGGGUUACCGGCCACAUUGGGCCUGCGAUACGGCCCAGACUGCUACGGUAGGCAGCAGGGGGGAAUAUUGCACAAUGGGCGGAAGCCUGAUGCAGCAACCCCGCGUGCGGGAUGACGGCCUUUGGGUUGUAAACCGCUUUCGCCGGUGACGAAGCGUGAGUGACGGUAAUGGGUAAAGAAGCACCGGCUAACUACGUG